ensembl:ncRNA F53B7.13 ncRNA
UUCUCAUAUUUCUCAAAAAUAAAUGGAAGAGCUGAUCACUUUUCCCUAGCAAAAGAAUAUGCUUCUUUCUACAAAAAGGGAUAAGAAAGUGAAGGAGGUCAAUACAUAACAAAUUCGGUGACGUGUGAACAGAAAAUAUGGA